rnacentral:rRNA from 1 species
UUGAUCCUGGCUCAGGACGAACGCUGGCGGCGUGCCUAAUACAUGCAAGUCGAGCGCAGGAAGUCAUCCGAACCCUUCGGGGGGACGUUGACGGAAUGAGCGGCGGACGGGUGAGUAACACGUAAAGAACCUGCCCUCAGGUCUGGGAUAACCACGAGAAAUCGGGGCUAAUACCGGAUGGGUCAUCGGACCGCAUGGUCCGAGGAUGAAAGGCGCUCCGGCGUCGCCUGGGGAUGGCUUUGCGGUGCAUUAGCUAGUUGGUGGGGUAACGGCCCACCAAGGCGACGAUGCAUAGCCGACCUGAGAGGGUGAUCGGCCACACUGGGACUGAGACACGGCCCAGACUCCUACGGGAGGCAGCAGUAGGGAAUCUUCCACAAUGGACGAAAGUCUGAUGGAGCAACGCCGCGUGAACGAUGAAGGCCCUCGGGUCGUAAAGUUCUGUUGUAAGGGAAGAACAAGUGCCGCAGGCAAUGGCGGCACCUUGACGGUACCUUGCGAGAAAGCCACGGCUAACUACGUGCCAGCAGCCGCGGUAAUACGUAGGUGGCAAGCGUUGUCCGGAAUUAUUGGGCGUAAAGCGCGCGCAGGCGGCCUCUUAAGUCUGAUGUGAAAGCCCCCGGCUCAACCGGGGAGGGCCAUUGGAAACUGGGAGGCUUGAGUAUAGGAGAGAAGAGUGGAAUUCCACGUGUAGCGGUGAAAUGCGUAGAGAUGUGGAGGAACACCAGUGGCGAANGCGACUCUUUGGCCUAUAACUGACGCUGAGGCGCGAAAGCGUGGGGAGCAAACAGGAUUAGAUACCCUGAUAGUCCACGCCGUAAACGAUGAGUGCUAGGUGUUGGANGGUUUCCGCCCU